UAUCACGUGUCACGCUAUGUAAAUAUGAUCAUUUAUUAUUUACCUAGUGUUUAAAAUUGUUUACAAGUUCUUUCUCACGGAGUUUUCAUAUAUGCGUUGUAAAUCUCCAGUAUAUAUAUCAGAAUUAAUUAUAUCCUGCCCAGAGGAAUAAUUAAAUUUAAAAACAACACCUCAGUAUUAGGAGACAGUUUUUUAAAAUCACGAUUUAUUUUGAUAUACUAUGUACUGAGCGCGAAUGUGCACACCUUAGCAGAAUAAUUUUCAACCGAACAAUGUGGGAAGUCAGCCAUUAUGACGAUGUAGAGUACGACCUUAAGAACCUACAACACUGCCAGUUUACGUUGAAGUUCUCCUCCAGGUGGUCUUUGGACAGCCUUGCUUUCUUUUUCCUUCUGGAGUCCAUCGAAGUGAGACCCUAGUGAUGUCAUUGAUGGGUUUCUUUAAGACAUGCCCGAUCCAUCUCCAGUGGUAUUUCAUAAAUAUGAUCUUAUGUCAAAACCAAAUUUGAAGUCACGGAAAAAAGCAAUGUACAAAUGUUUAUGAUAAAGAUGUAUGAUUUAGCCUGUCCACCAUGAUUUUAAUGAUCUUUUUUUUUUUAAACUUUCAUACUAUGAUCUUGCAUAACUUGUAUCUCCGAGAAAAAAUAUGUGAUUGUCCUCGUGUACAAAAUGUUAUGAAUGGUUUUGAGAGAACAGCAUUUAAAGAAUAAAUAUGGAGUUUUAUGACCAAUUGAAAGGUCCAUGCUUAUGAUCGAGAACACCGGAAUUUGAAACAUUUGAGGUUUAUUACUGACAAAACACUGGCACAUGUAAGUGUGUAAUAUUUAGAUAUCUCGGUGCACCGGUAAACACUGGUAAGUUAUCUCAGUGCACCGGUAAACACUGGUAAGUGUGUAAUAUUUAGAUAUCUCAGUGUACCGGUAAACACUGGUAAGUGUGUAAUAUUUAGAUAUAUCGGUGCACCGGUAAACACUGGUAAGUUAUCUCAG